rnacentral:tRNA from 1 species
UCCUUGAUAGCUCAGUUGAUAAAGAAUCUGCCUGCUGUGCAGGAGACCCAGGUUCAAUUCCUGGAUCGGGAA